AGUGAACGCUGGCGGUAGGCCUAACACAUGCAAGUCGAACGGCAGCACAGUAAGAGCUUGCUCUUACGGGUGGCGAGUGGCGGACGGGUGAGGAAUACAUCGGAAUCUACUUUUUCGUGGGGGAUAACGUAGGGAAACUUACGCUAAUACCGCAUACGACCUACGGGUGAAAGCAGGGGAUCUUCGGACCUUGCGCGAUUGAAUGAGCCGAUGUCGGAUUAGCUAGUUGGCGGGGUAAAGGCCCACCAAGGCGACGAUCCGUAGCUGGUCUGAGAGGAUGAUCAGCCACACUGGAACUGAGACACGGUCCAGACUCCUACGGGAGGCGGCAGUGGGGAAUAUUGGACAAUGGGCGCAAGCCUGAUCCAGCCAUACCGCGUGGGUGAAGAAGGCCUUCGGGUUGUAAAGCCCUUUUGUUGGGAAAGAAAAGCAGCAGGUUAAUACCCCGCUGUUCUGACGGUACCCAAAGAAUAAGCACCGGUUAACUUCGUG
rnacentral:rRNA from 1 species